rnacentral:rRNA from 1 species
UAAUACGGAGGGUGCGAGCGUUGUUCGGAAUCACUGGGCGUAAAGGGCGCGUAGGCGGUCCGUUAAGUCUGAUGUGAAAGCCCGGGGCUUACCCCCGGAAGUGCAUUGGAAACUGGCGGACUCGAGUCCCGGAGAGGAAGGUGGAAUUCCUGGUGUAGCGGUGAAAUGCGUAGAUAUCAGGAGGAACACCGGCGGCGAAGGCGGCCUUCUGGACGGUGACUGACGCUGAUGCGCGAAAGCGUGGGGAGCAAACAGGAUUAGAUACCCUGGUAGUCCACGCUGUAAACGAUGAGCACUAGGUGUCGCGGGUAUUGACCCCUGCGGUGCCGCAGCUAACGCAUUAAGUGCUCCGCCUGGGGACUACGGCCGCAAGGUUA